AGAGUUUGAUCCUGGCUCAGGAUGAACGCUGGCGGCGUGCCUAAUACAUGCAAGUCGAGCGAACGGACGAGAAGCUUGCUUCUCUGAUGUUAGCGGCGGACGGGUGAGUAACACGUGGAUAACCUACCUAUAAGACUGGGAUAACUUCGGGAAACCGGAGCUAAUACCGGAUAAUAUUUUGAACCGCAUGGUUCAAAAGUAAAAGACGGUCUUGCUGUCACUUAUAGAUGGAUCCGCGCUGCAUUAGCUAGUUGGUAAGGUAACGGCUUACCAAGGCAACGAUGCAUAGCCGACCUGAGAGGGUGAUCGGCCACACUGGAACUGAGACACGGUCCAGCCUCCUACGGGAGGCAGCAGUAGGGAAUCUUCCGCAAUGGGCGAAAGCCUGACGGAGCAACGCCGCGUGAGUGAUGAAGGUCUUCGGAUCGUAAAACUCUGUUAUUAGGGAAGAACAUAUGUGUAAGUAACUGUGCACAUCUUGACGGUACCUAAUCAGAAAGCCACGGCUAACUACGUGCCAGCAGCCGCGGUAAUACGUAGGUGGCAAGCGUUAUCCGGAAUUAUUGGGCGUAAAGCGCGCGUAGGCGGUUUUUUAAGUCUGAUGUGAAAGCCCACGGCUCAACCGUGGAGGGUCAUUGGAAACUGGAAAACUUGAGUGCAGAAGAGGAAAGUGGAAUUCCAUGUGUAGCGGUGAAAUGCGCAGAGAUAUGGAGGAACACCAGUGGCGAAGGCGACUUUCUGGUCUGUAACUGACGCUGAUGUGCGAAAGCGUGGGGAUCAAACAGGAUUAGAUACCCUGGUAGUCCACGCCGUAAACGAUGAGUGCUAAGUGUUAGGGGGUUUCCGCCCCUUAGUGCUGCAGCUAACGCAUUAAGCACUCCGCCUGGGGAGUACGACCGCAAGGUUGAAACUCAAAGGAAUUGACGGGGACCCGCACAAGCGGUGGAGCAUGUGGUUUAAUUCGAAGCAACGCGAAGAACCUUACCAAAUCUUGACAUCCUUUGACAACUCUAGAGAUAGAGC
rnacentral:rRNA from 1 species